AGCGUUGCCAGGCUGGACCAGCUGGCUCUCUUCUGUUCCUAAAACUGUAUGUUCUUAGACACACUUCCUCCAUCCCUUCUGCUGCUGGCGAACUUAGUGUAGCACAAUGUCACUCUCACAAUCACAUGGAAACAGACUCCUGGAGGAACAAAAAGGAGGGACCCUGCGGCCCUACUGCAGCUCUACUGCAGCCCUGUAUUUCUGCCUUCCGUCUUCAUCUCUGUACUCCAUCCAUGCUGGCCUCCAUUCAAAGCCUUGAACAGACUGCAUAAUUGGAAUGGACAUACUUAAACAUCACCACAGAGCACUCACCAAUGCUAGAUGAGCACCCACAUUAUAGCCUUUGCUGGAGCC
rnacentral:lncRNA from 1 species